GAGAGGUAGUGAAUGUGAGAAUUAAGACUAAUGAAGCACAGUUGAAAAACUGCUAUGUGAAAAGCUAGUCUUUGUGGAUUACAGUCCUUAUGUUCUUAUUGAUUGUAAGAAUUGUAAAGUCUGUUUCUCUUGAGCGUUAGGAAACAUCUGUGCUCAAAAACUUAAAUUCUGGGGAAAACAUUAAAAAUAUUAUUUCAACUUGAGAACAUUUAUAUUUUUCAUUUAAAAAUAAAAGAAAGUACAUAAAACUUAAUUCUGAAAUGCAGUUUUAUUAACAGUUGUAUGCCAAUGGCAGUUAUGCAUAAAUAAGGGGUCACAAGAUCCAAUCCUCAGUAAACAGUAGUAUUUCACAAACUUAAGGACCCUUGUUUGUAAUGUGGAUAUUCAUUUGACAGCCCGGUGUUUUGUGAAAACGUGAUAAAAUCGGCUGAAGGCUGUAAACUGAGAAUAUUUGGGGAUUUUAAAUAAAUAUUCUUGCUGAAAUCCAAAGAUCACAAUAUAAUUUAAUCUUGAGGGAGAAACCACUUGAUGCCAGUUCAAAACUUUCACAUGCCUUAGUAAGUAGAAGCAAUGAGAGGAUAACCUUCAAGUCAAUGUGACAUCUGAUUAAAGAUUUUCAUUUUUAAAUAAGACUUAGUAUGUAACUUUAUUAGAUCGAAUAUGUUUAUGUUAAUGUCCACAAUUAGCAUAUCUGAAGUCUUUUCCCACUUAAAAGGAACAUUAUUAUUAAUCAAAUUUAAAUAUUUUAAUUAUAAGAACACAAAGCUCUGUUCAUGAAUUUGCACUGAAUUAAAUUCCAAGGCCUUAGUUUCCAAAGUAUAUAGAUUGGUUUGCCGAUAGAGCAUCUAUUUUUUUGCAUUCUAAUUUAUCUGAAUCUGAGAAGUGAUCAUAUUUCUAAAUUCACACAAAAACGCCUCAGAAUCUGUACGAUAAAGAACUUGUCCAAACAGUGAUCUCAUAAAGAUCUUCAUAAAAAAAGCUGUUUAAACAACAUUGUUAAUCUCAGGUUUUAUUUUUCCUCCCAAGCAAUCUUAAAAAGUUAAUGAGGGGUAGAAGGUGUGUUCUCAUUCUUUCAGGCAUAUCAAUAUAUUUGGCUCCAGACUAAAACAACAAAAGGUGUACUAUAUUUAAACAGAACAUAAAAGAAACAGAAGAGAAUUUCACUUGUUACUAAAACAAUGCAACAUGCUUUACUAAUGACAGUGAAUUAUAAAACCCAGAUCUAUCCUUAGUAUCUGAAAGAACUGACUACAUUUGUAAUGUUAAUAUUACAAUGGCAAAAUACAAAAACAGAUUGCCAAGGGUCAUGGAAUGUGCACUAGUCUCUUUUUCCCCAUAUUUAGAGAUAAAAUAUCACUUUUAUCAAUGAACCCACCAUUAGCUAUUUUAAAUUGUUACUUCAUUUUUAAACUAGUGCAUUAGUUGUUAAUUUUUUGCCCCAUCACAGAAUGGUUUUUGCUUGUGAUGAUAGCAUUAUAACUACCCCAAAGGCAAUUAGCCGACUUAAUUUCCAGACUGUCCACUAAACAAUUCAGAAUUCUUUAAACUUUUCCAAAUAUUUGUGAUAAAUGUCAAAAUAUCAGUGGAAUUUUAAUCAGCACAAACUUCUAACAAGCAUGUGAAAAUUAAGUGAAAGCAAGUUUUCCUUUCCGAUAUUUGUUUUUAAUCAGUGCCUCACUUAAGCUUAAAGGAACAGCUGAAUAAAUUCCUUGUCAGUUGAAGACAAUCUACAUCUGUUCUGCCAUAAUUUAGUAUAACUGCUUUCCCAUCAGGACUCAAGCCCAGCCAAAUAACUAAGCACCCAAAUCCCCACAGAUGCUCUGCAACUGCCACAAUAAGGCAGAAACAACAACAAGCAGCUAGCGCGUUCCUUCUUAUAGCAAACAGAGAAAGCUCAAAACCCUGUAGGUGGUAACUUGCUAUAUAUGAGUGCUGUAGAAAGCCACUGGCAAACAUUCAAAUACUCGCAUUCCUUAGCUCAGCUAGGAGAGGCUCAGCGAUAGCUAACAGGAGUAAGAACUAUGGGCACAAUGUAUGAGUUCUACACAAGAAUUAUCUUCCAACCAGCAAAAGAACUGAUCCAGAUUCUGAUCUCACUCUCAUGGUCUCCUGUCAGCACAGGUUCAAUGAUGUCAGCAGAUUUACUCCUUAUUUGAACUGUUGAGAGAGGAGAAUGAGGUUUCCUAGGAAAUUGUUCCCUGAUCUGUUUUAUGGUCACCGUUUCUGGUGUGAAUGGAUAAAAGAGAGGAAGAGGACAAAGCACUUGGAAAACAGGAUGGAGCACAAAUGCAAGUUAAAGGAGCAGAAAAGCUCUCAAAGUAAGAGAAGACAGAGACUGAGCAAAGCCAGCUUAGCACACCUCUUCUGCCAAGAAGUUCACAAGAAGUUUUCCAUACACAACGGUAGUCCUGUAACAAGAGUAUUAAACUGGAACUUGGUUAACUUGGAUUCAGUUCUCUCUCUGCCAAAGUGUGUGAUCUUAGGUAAGUCUCUCUGUAUUUCAGUUUUCCAUCUAUAAAACUAGAGUAGCAAUCAGUCUAUCCUUAGGAUUUAUGGGGCCCUAUGCAUUACUGGGAUAAGAAGAGGCAGCUGGGUGGACAUUAAGACCCAGUCCUGCCCCAAAUUUUCAGGUGUGCUAUGCAGCUGCAUAUUCUGCAUACGGGUAAGGAUGGCCCUGGUAGUAAUAAUUACCUUUCUUCUGGGGGUGCUGUGAAAGUAAAUGUAUUAAUGACUGUGUGGUGCUCAGAUAUUGAGAUGGUGCAUUCCAGAGAAGUACCUCAAUGGAUGGAAUUAGAUAGAGCACUACCCGUGCUGGCAGUCACGUCCAACUAGCCAGCAAAGACAAUCUCACCAUGUUUCCUGUCAAGAUUCUCUGUGUCUGCAGUGAGGCAGUCAUUUCAUAAACUCUGCUUCAGACACAACUGGACUCUAAUUUUUCAGCCUUAUUUAGCAAUCAGCGUUCUUCCAUUUGAUCUUAAUAGUCUCAAUUAUUUUGGUAGGUUAUUUCAGAUUUCUAACAAAUAUUGAGCUUUAUUUUCAUCUCCAGCAUAGAACAAGUUCUCCUUGAUUAAAAAGAAAAUGAUGGACAAGAGAAGGGGGCUGAAACCAAAAUUUCAGCCAAUGCUGCUUUGCAAACUGGUAAGAGGAAAAAUCUGUAUCUCUACUGCUCUGGUACGUUAAAAGAACCAGAAGAAUUUGCUUGGCAAUAGCUGAACCUACCUCCAACAUUUCAAGAUUUUUGUUUUCUAAUGAAAGCAUCAGCAAUGUGGCACCUAACAUUAUGUGCCGGAUAACUCAUAAUAGUACUUGGGGAGGUGGGGAAGGGGGGGGAGGAUAAUUCUCGCCACUCACUCUGCCCAAAUGGUGUCUGGGAUGGAUUUAGAACCUACAGGAAUCUACUUUCUCAGAUAACGAAAUAUGUUUUAAGAGCCUGUCUGUUGUUAUUCAAGAUUAGCUCCAGGUCAAAUAAAUAAAUGAAGAUACUGAAAAAAUUGCAUAGGCUCUACUUUCUCUUGGGAUUUUAAUAAAGAAGAAAAAUAAAGUGGCAGAGAAUGUAUUUAAAAAUACCAGGGAAAAAAAUAAAAAAGAUCCAGAAAAUCAGAUUUCCUUUUAUUUCUUUUCUGUUUCCUUGUUAAUGUAGGAAGAAGAGCUGCUGAAUUCAGAUACUGGCACUUGAUUCAGGAUACAGUUUCCCUUUGAUUAUUUCCAGAUAAUGAGAAUAAAAGAGUAAAAAUGACUCACUGAAUUCAGAAAAACAGAGUAAGAGGAGGUUAGAAGCUUAUCUGUGGCUGGCCCACAGAGAUGAGAAGCUACUGCUAUCCUUUAUUUCAAGUAAGGAGGAGUGAAGAGGCCUAUGCUGUGGAUGUAAAGGCUAUGCAUUCCAGUCUUGCUGAUAGCACAUAAUGGGGUCAAUACAGUUCCAUCUAAUGGAUUUUUUUAUCGUGUUUAUCUUUAUGUCUAGUAGCAUGAAUAGUGAUAUUUUUGAAGGUCACUGAGCUGCCAUGGUGAUAGGUACUUAAUCUUCAAAUAUCACAUUUUUCUUAUGCUUUGGUAGUUACAGUAGUUAUAUUUAACUCUUAGGAUUCUGAUGAUUCAAAGAAGUUAGCAAAUAAAGAAAAAAAUCUGGUUUUUUUCCAGUUUGUUUCCUUCUUGCAUUUGACAACACUCUGUCUAAAGACUGUGUUCUUCAAUCUAUCAGGGGUUGUCUGCAUGGGGAAAUUUAUCAGAAUAACCACUCCAAAAUAACUCCCCAAUGAAUUAUCCAUUCUGGAAUGGUGUUCACAUUGGGAGGAAUAACUACUGCAAAAUAAUUUAUCCCAUAAUAGCUAUUUGGAUUAAUUUCCUCAUAAAGACAAGCUCUAAGGCCCCAGCCCUUCAUAUACCUACCUAUUCACAUAAAGAAUCCCAGUGAAGUCAACAGGAUUGCUUACAUAUGUCAAUACAUCUUUACAUGACCAUGGUUAUAGUUCAUUUCUCCAUUGCUGAAGUCAUGAAGAGACCAUUAUGAACAAGACCAGCACAACAGAAAAAAAUCCUUAUAAAUUAUUUUAAAAGGAUUAAAAAACUCAAGGACAUUCUGUUUAAAGAUGAUCUAUCUCAGAAACUAGACAUUUUUAAAUUAUUUACUAAAAAGUUAAUGGUGUCUCUUUAAUAGAAGAAAUGAAUGUGGGAGGAAAAGAGAUUAUACAAACUGAGUCAUGAUGUAAUUCCUGUGUUCCUUAGCCCAAAUCUUACUGUCUGGGUGCAUCUAGACUGGCAAGAUUUUGCGCAAAAGAGGACGCUUUUGCGCAAAAACU